rnacentral:rRNA from 1 species
CAAUAGCGUAUAUUAAAGUUGUUGCAGUUAAAAAGCUCGUAGUUGGAUUUCGGGGCAGCCUGGCUGGUCCGCCGCAAGGCGAGUACUGGUCAGCCGCCCUUCCUCUCGAAAGCUCCGACUGCUCUUCGUUGCAGUGGUCGGGUAGUUCGGGACGUUUACUUUGAAAAAAUUAGAGUGUUCAAGGCAGGCCUACGCCUGAAUACAUUAGCAUGGAAUAAUGGAAGAGGACCUCGGUCCUAUUUUGUUGGUUUCCAGGGCCGAAGUAAUGAUUAAGAGGGACAGUUGGGGGCAUUCGUAUUUAAUUGUCAGAGGUGAAAUUCUCGGAUUUAUGAAAGACGAACAACUGCGAAAGCAUUUGCCAAGGAUGUUUUCAUUAA